GACUGAGACACGGCCCAGACUCCUACGGGAGGCAGCAGUGGGGAAUAUUGCACAAUGGGGGAAACCCUGAUGCAGCCAUGCCGCGUGUGUGAAGAAGGCCUUCGGGUUGUAAAGCACUUUCAGUAGGGAGGAAAGGUGAUGUGUUAAUAGCACAUUGCUGUGACGUUACCUACAGAAGAAGGACCGGCUAACUCCGUGCCAGCAGCCGCGGUAAUACGGAGGGUCCGAGCGUUAAUCGGAAUUACUGGGCGUAAAGCGUGCGCAGGCGGUUUGUUAAGCCAGAUGUGAAAUCCCCGGGCUCAACCUGGGAAUUGCAUUUGGAACUGGCGAACUAGAGUCUUGUAGAGGGGGGUAGAAUUCCAGGUGUAGCGGUGAAAUGCGUAGAUAUCUGGAGGAAUACCGGUGGCGAAGGCGGCCCCCUGGACAAAGACUGACGCUCAUGCACGAAAGCGUGGGGAGCAAACAGGAUUAGAUACCCUGGUAGUCCACGCCGUAAAAG
rnacentral:rRNA from 1 species